AUUAACCGGACGUAAUAUUUGUUAACCGCAUGGUUCAAAAGUGAAAGACGGUCUUGCUGUCACUUAUAGAUGGAUCCGCGCUGCAUUAGCUAGUUGGUAAGGUAACGGCUUACCAAGGCAACGAUGCAUAGCCGACCUGAGAGGGUGAUCGGCCACACUGGAACUGAGACACGGUCCAG
rnacentral:rRNA from 1 species